CCUACUCCUACGGGAGGCAGCAGUAGGGAAUCUUCCGCAAUGGACGAAAGUCUGACGGAGCAACGCCGCGUGAGUGAUGAAGGCUUUCGGGUCGUAAAACUCUGUUGUUAGGGAAGAACAAGUGCUAGUUGAAUAAGCUGGCACCUUGACGGUACCUAACCAGAAAGCCACGGCUAACUACGUGCCAGCAGCCGCGGUAAUACGUAGGUGGCAAGCGUUAUCCGGAAUUAUUGGGCGUAAAGCGCGCGCAGGUGGUUUCUUAAGUCUGAUGUGAAAGCCCACGGCUCAACCGUGGAGGGUCAUUGGAAACUGGGAGACUUGAGUGCAGAAGAGGAAAGUGGAAUUCCAUGUGUAGCGGUGAAAUGCGUAGAGAUAUGGAGGAACACCAGUGGCGAAGGCGACUUUCUGGUCUGUAACUGACACUGAGGCGCGAAAGCGUGGGGAGCAAACAGGAUUAGAUA
rnacentral:rRNA from 1 species